GAAUUCGAUUAACGCGAAGAACCUUACCUGGGCUUGACAUGCUGGUGAAAACCGGUGGAAACAUCGGUCCCUCUUCGGAGCACCAGCACAGGUGCUGCAUGGCUGUCGUCAGCUCGUGUCGUGAGAUGUUGGGUUAAGUCCCGCAACGAGCGCAACCCUCGCUCCCAGUUGCCAGCGGUUCGGCCGGGGACUCUGGGGGGACUGCCGGCGUUAAGCCGGAGGAAGGUGGGGACGACGUCAAGUCAUCACGGCCCUUACGUCCAGGGCGACACACGUGCUACAAUGCCCGGUACAACGCGUCGCGAACCCGCGAGGGGGAGCCAAUCGCGAAAAGCCGGGCUAAGUUCGGAUUGUAGUCUGCAACUCGACUGCAUGAAGCCGGAAUCGCUAGUAAUCGCGGAUCAGCCACGCCGCGGUGAAUACGUUCCCGGGCCUUGUCACACCGAAUCACUA
rnacentral:rRNA from 1 species